GAUGAACGCUGGCGGCGUGCCUAAUACAUGCAAGUCGAGCGAACGGACGAGAAGCUUGCUUCUCUGAUGUUAGCGGCGGACGGGUGAGUAACACGUGGAUAACCUACCUAUAAGACUGGGAUAAAUUCGGGAAACCGGAGCUAAUACCGGAUAAUAUUUUGAACCGCAUGGUUCAAAAGUGACAGACGGUCUUGCUGUCACUUAUAGAUGGAUCCGCGCUGCAUUAGCUAGUUGGUAAGGUAACGGCUUACCGAGGCAACGAUGCAUAGCCGACCUGAGAGGGUGAUCGGCCACACUGGAACUGAGACACGGUCCAGACUCCUACGGGAGGCAGCAGUAGGGAAUCUUCCGCAAUGGGCGAAAGCCUGACGGAGCAACGCCGCGUGAGUGAUGAAGGUCUUCGGAUCGUAAAACUCUGUUAUUAGGGAAGAUCAUAUGUGUAAGUAACUGUGCACAUCUUGACGGUACCUAAUCAGAAAGCCACGGCUAACUACGUG
rnacentral:rRNA from 1 species